CAGCCGCCGCGGUAAAACGAAGGGUGCAAGCGUUAAUCGGAAUUACUGGGCGUAAAGCGUGCGUAGGCGGUGAGUUAAGUCUGCUGUGAAAUCCCCGGGCUCAACCUGGGAAUGGCAGUGGAUACUGGCUCGCUAGAGUGUGUCAGAGGAUGGUGGAAUUCCCGGUGUAGCGGUGAAAUGCGUAGAGAUCGGGAGGAACAUCAGUGGCGAAGGCGGCCAUCUGGGACAACACUGACGCUGAGGCACGAAAGCGUGGGGAGCAAACAGGAUUAGAUACCCGGGUAGUCCCUGUCUCUUAUAC
rnacentral:rRNA from 1 species